rnacentral:rRNA from 1 species
GACGAACCGUGCGAAUGUUGUUCGGAAUUACUGGGCGUAAAGCGUGCGUAGGUGGUUUGUUAAGUCUGUUGUGAAAGCCCCGGGCUCAACCUGGGAAUGGCAAUGGAUACUGGCAGGCUAGAGUGCGGUAGAGGGUAGUGGAAUUCCCGGUGUAGCGGUGAAAUGCGUAGAGAUCGGGAGGAACACCAGUGGCGAAGGCGGCUACCUGGACCAGCACUGACACUGAGGCACGAAAGCGUGGGGAGCAAACAGG